AACGAACGCUGGCGGCAUGCCUAACACAUGCAAGUCGAACGAACCCUUCGGGGAUAGUGGCGCACGGGUGCGUAACGCGUGGGAACCUGCCCUUAGGUUCGGAAUAACUCAGAGAAAUUUGAGCUAAUACCGGAUAAUGUCUUCGGACCAAAGAUUUAUCGCCUUUGGAUGGGCCCGCGUUGGAUUAGCUAGUUGGUGUGGUAAAGGCCUACCAAGGCGACGAUCCAUAGCUGGUCUGAGAGGAUGAUCAGCCACACUGGGACUGAGACACGGCCCAGACUCCUACGGGAGGCAGCAGUGGGGAAUAUUGGACAAUGGGCGAAAGCCUGAUCCAGCAAUGCCGCGUGAGUGAUGAAGGCCUUAGGGUUGUAAAGCUCUUUUACCCGGGAUGAUAAUGACAGUACCGGGAGAAUAAGCCCCGGCUAACUCCGUG
rnacentral:rRNA from 1 species